UACGUAGGGUGCAGGCGUUAAUCGGAAUUACUGGGCGUAAAGGGCGCGUAGGCGGCCAACUAAGUCAGACGUGAAAUCCCUCGGCUCAACCGGGGAACUGCGUCUGAUACUGGAUGGCUUGAAUUCGGGAGAGGGAUGCGGAAUUCCAGGUGUAGCGGUGAAAUGCGUAGAUAUCUGGAGGAACACCGGUGGCGAAGGCGGCAUCCUGGACCGAGAUUGACGCUGAUGCGCGAAAGCCAGGGGAGCAAACGGG
rnacentral:rRNA from 1 species